rnacentral:rRNA from 1 species
GUGGACUCGCAAUGCGAGUGGUAGAGGAGCAUUCUUAAAACCGACGAAGCUGUACCGAAAGGAGCAGUGGAGGGAUAAGAAGAGAGAAUGCCGGAAUGAGUAGCGAGAGAAAGGUGGGAAUCCUUUCGGCCGAAUAUCUAAGGUUUCCAGAGUAAAGCUGAUCUGCUCUGGGUAAGUCGGGGCCUAAGCACAGGUCGCAAGACGUAAGCGAUGGAUAACAGGUUUAGAUUCCUGUACCACGCAUUAUCAGAACUGUAGGGACGCAUGUGGAAAGCACGGGCCGGGAAUGGAAAGACCGGUACAAGCGGGGUAGGUGUACAAUAGGCAAAUCCGUUGUAUA